rnacentral:rRNA from 1 species
UUUAAAGAGAGUUUGAUCCUGGCUCAGGACGAACGCUGGCGGCGUGCCUAAUACAUGCAAGUCGAACGAACGGAGGAAGAGCUUGCUCUUCCAAAGUUAGUGGCGGACGGGUGAGUAACACGUGGGCAACCUGCCUGUAAGUUGGGGAUAACUCCGGGAAACCGGGGCUAAUACCGAAUGAUAAAGUGUGGCGCAUGCCACGCUUUUGAAAGAUGGUUUCGGCUAUCGCUUACAGAUGGGCCCGCGGUGCAUUAGCUAGUUGGUAGGGUAAUGGCCUA